AGAGUUUGAUCAUGGCUCAGAACGAACGCUGGCGGCGUGCUUAACACAUGCAAGUCGAGUGCGCGUGCCGUAGCAAUACGGUAUGGCGCACGGCGCACGGGUGCGUAACACGUGGGCAAUCUGCCCUCCGAUGGGGAAUAACUCCGGGAAACCGAAGCUAAUUCCGCAUAACAUUCCCUGGACUCCGGUUCGGGGAUUCAAAGCAGCAAUGCGUCGGAGGAGGAGCCCGCGCCCGAUUAGCUAGUUGGUGAGGUAACGGCUCACCAAGGCUAUGAUCGGUAGCUGGUCUGAGAGGAUGGCCAGCCACACUGGAACUGAGACACGGUCCAGACUCCUACGGGAGGCAGCAGUGGGGAAUCUUGCGCAAUGGGCGAAAGCCUGACGCAGCGACGCCGCGUGGGGGAUGAAGCUUCUCGGAGUGUAAACCCCUUUCGACCGGGACGAAUGCCCGCAAGGGAGUGACGGUACCGGUAGAAGAAGCCCCGGCUAACUACGUGCCAGCAGCCGCGGUAAGACGUAGGGGGCCAGCGUUGUUCGGAAUUACUGGGUGUAAAGGGUUCGUAGGCGGUGUGGCAAGUCGGGAGUGAAAUUUCUGGGCUUAACUCAGAACCUGCUUCCGAAACUGCUGUGCUGGAGUGUGGGAGAGGCGCGUGGAAUUGCAGGUGUAGCGGUGAAAUGCGUAGAUAUCUGCAGGAACACCCGUGGCGAAAGCGGCGCGCUGGACCACUACUGACGCUGAGGAACGAAAGCUAGGGGAGCAAACAGGAUUAGAUACCCUAGUAGUCC
rnacentral:rRNA from 1 species